rnacentral:rRNA from 1 species
GACGGAGGAUGCAAGUGUUAUCCGGAAUCACUGGGUCGUAAAGCGUCUGUAGGUGGUUUAAUAAGUCAACUGUUAAAUUCUUGAGGCUCAACCUCAAAAAUCGCAGUCGAAACUAUUAGGCUAGAGUAUAGUAGGGGUAAAGGGAAUUUCCAGUGGAGCGGUGAAAUGCGUAGAGAUUGGAAAGAACACCGAUGGCGAAGGCACUUUACUGGGCUAUUACUAACACUCAGAGACGGAAAGCUAGGGUAGCAAAUGGG